GCAGGAGGUCACAGUUUCGGCUCAGGGCCCGGAGCGCUCCGGUGUGCCGGCGAUGGGUGCCCGGGGCGGCGGGCGCUGCGCUGCGCUGCUCGACAGUGACACUCGGCUUUUUCCACAGAACUGGAGCAGAGCUGCCUCUCCCCCUGAAGUUAAUUUAUUCUGCAAUACCCAUCCAUGAGGCCUUCUGUUAACUUCAGUGACUGAAAAAAAUAAAGGAACUUUGGCUCAACCUCAUAAAACACAGAAAUUCUGUCCACGAAUCACCAAGAAC